CCUCCCUCCGAUGUGCACGAUAUCUUCUUCUAAUAAUACACAUAGCUACUAUUCGAUAAAUAUACGAUGCGAAUAAAGCAAUACAUCUGCUUAUCGAUUUUCAUCGCGAAUGUGAAUCUGAAAAUAGAUUUUCCCACCCACACUCUCUCUCUCUCUCUCUCUCUCUCUCUCUAUCUCUUUCUCUUUCUCUCUUUUUGUCGAAGAAACCACGUUAAAGAGAGAGAGAGAGAGAGAGAGAGAGAGAGAGAGAAAAGGCUCGCGGCACUUUGCCCAAAGGGUAGACGGAGAGAGAGAACUUCAUUUUUCAAACGGAAGGAAGUAAAACAGACAGACAGACAGACAGACAGACAGACAGACAGGCAAGUAGGCAGGCAGGCAGGCAGGUAGGCAAGCAAGGAGAGAACCUAAGAAGGACGAAUAAGGGUUCGCUGAACAUCGAAUUAACUCUUCAGGGCUUCAACGGUAUACCUGCAAGUUGUACAAAAUGGAGAAAAAAAGAGAGAAGAGAGGAGAAAAAAAAAAUUGGAAAAAAAGGAGAAGGAGAACGAAAACUUCAAAAAAAGAAAAAAAAAGAGAGAAAAGAAAAAAAAAGAAACGAAUUACUUCUAACGGUUGGUUAUAGUUUGAAACAAUAUUAGAGAACAAUCUCGAUGAGGAUUCUUAUCAAACGAGAAAGGUGGAGAGGCAGUUCGUUGUAAGAAAAAUUCAACGAUAAAAAAGGAAAAGAAAGAAGAAAGAAGAAAAAAAACUUGUAAUAAUUUUUAUAUACCAUUUUGAUACGAUGGAUACAUUAUUAAAUGAAUAAGAGAUAAAAUAACGUGCUUCUAAUGUUGCACGUUUCCCUUCUAUGAUUUUCAAACUCCGAUUGGUACCAUCUCGUACUUUCUUAAACCUAUAUAAAAUAGAAAUGAAAAGUUGAUGAAAAAGAAGAAAAGUAAAAAAAAAAAAAAAAAAAGAGAAAAAGAAAAUGGUCAAACUGAAAAUUGAACCAAAGUCUCAGUGUCAUACGUAUAUCGUUCAUUUGCCGAGCAAUCGUUCAUUUGUCGAGAUGAUUGAUUUUACAUAAAACAAAAACAAAAACAAAACAAAACAAAAAAAAACAAGGAAAAAAGAAACA